rnacentral:lncRNA from 1 species
GGAAGCUAAGACAAGAUUCAUAUAAAGGUUUAAGAUAAACUCUCUAUAGCUAGAUAUCCAAUGUAUUCUCAGAUAGCAAAUCACGUCAUGCAAUAACAUACUUGGAAAAUACAUUGUCGUAGAGAGAGAGAGUUUGCCUUGAGAAAAUACUAGGCUUCUUAGUGCUAUUGAUUGCUUUACUAUAUUGUAAUUCUAGAACAUUCAUAACACUCUAUAAAACAUAAAUCCUUUUUGAAUUCACUUGCUCUCAUAUCGAGAAAUCCCUUUCUUUUAGAAUUUGUAAAAAAAAAAACAAAACAAAAUACAAGAGAAUCAAAACUCCCUUGAAGAGUCCUUAUAUCUCUCUCCUAAGAUGGUUGCCUCUCUUUUUCCAGAUUUUCUAAUCCUAAAACCUACCUCUUAAUCCUAAAUCCUAAACU